AAGUCGUAACAAGGUUUCCGUAGGUGAACCUGCGUGAAGGAUCAUUA
rnacentral:rRNA from 1 species